rnacentral:rRNA from 1 species
UGGGGAAUAUUGCGCAAUGGGCGAAAGCCUGACGCAGCGACGCCGCGUGAGGGAUGAAGGUCCUCGGAUCGUAAACCUCUGUCAGGGGGGAAGAAGCGCCUGUGAGCAAAUAGUUCAUGGGUUUGACGGUACCCCAAGCAAGACACCGGCUAACUCCGUGCCAGCAGCCGCGGUAAUACGGAGGGUGCGAGCGUUAAUCGGAAUCACUGGGCGUAAAGCGCACGUAGGUGGCGUGGUAAGUCGGGGUGAAUCCACAGCUCAACUGUGGAACUGCCUUCGAUACUGUCAUGCUUGAGUAUCGGAGAGGGUGGCGGAAUUCCAGGUGUAGGAGUGAAAUCCGUAGAUAUCUGGAAGAACACCGGUGGCGAAGGCGGCCACCUGGACGAAAACUGACGCUGAGGUGCGAAAGCGUGGGGUAGCAAACAGGAUUAGAUACC